rnacentral:rRNA from 1 species
GAUGAACGCUGGCGGCGUGCCUAAUACAUGCAAGUCGAGCGAAUGGAUUAAGAGCUUGCUCUUAUGAAGUUAGCGGCGGACGGGUGAGUAACACGUGGGUAACCUGCCCAUAAGACUGGGAUAACUCCGGGAAACCGGGGCUAAUACCGGAUAACAUUUUGAACCGCAUGGUUCGAAAUUGAAAGGCGGCUUCGGCUGUCACUUAUGGAUGGACCCGCGUCGUAUUAGCGAGUUGGUGAGGUAACGGCUCACCAAGGCAACGAUGCGUAGCCGACCUGAGAGGGUGAUCGGCCACACUGGGACUGAGACACGGCCCAGACUCCUACGGGAGGCAGCAGUAGGGAAUCUUCCGCAAUGGACGAAAGUCUGACGGAGCAACGCCGCGUGAGUGAUGAAGGCUUUCGGGUCGUAAAACUCUGUUGUUAGGGAAGAACAAGUGCUAGUUGAAUAAGCUGGCACCUUGACGGUACCUAACCAGAAAGCCACGGCUAACUACGUGCCAGCAGCCGCAGUAA